CUACGGGCGGCUGCAGUGGGGAAUAUUGGACAAUGGGGGAAACCCUGAUCCAGCAAUGCCGCGUGUGUGAAGAAGGCCUGCGGGUUGUAAAGCACUUUCGGUUGGGAGGACUGCUUCUAGCACUAAUAUUGUUGGAAGUUGACGUUACCUUCAGAAGAAGCACCGGCUAACUCCGUGCCAGCAGCUGCGGUAAUACGGAGGGUGCAAGCGUUAAUCGGAAUUACUGGGCGUAAAGCGCGCGUAGGCGGCUAGAUCAGUCGGGUGUGAAAGCCCCGGGCUUAACCUGGGAACUGCAUCCGAUACUGUCUAGCUUGAGGACAGGAGAGGGGAGUGGAAUUCCACAUGUAGCGGGGAAAUGCGUAGAUAUGUGGAGGAACACCAAUGGCGAAGGCAGCUCUCUGGCCUGAUACUGACGCUGAGGUGCGAAAGCGUGGGGAGCAAACAGGAUUAGAUACCCCCGUAGUC
rnacentral:rRNA from 1 species